GCUGUGAUCGUAUAGUGGUUAGUAGAUUGCGUUGUGGCCGCAAUAAUUGCCAAGGUUCGAAUCCUGGUCACGGCC
rnacentral:tRNA from 1 species